rnacentral:lncRNA from 1 species
CGGGCUGAAAAACCAUCCACAUCCGUCUGCACCAAGCAGUCCUGGAAUCAGUGUUCACCCGGCCGCAGACUUGCCGUGGCUUUCUGGAACACCGCUGGCCAGUUCAGCACUGUUCAUCUCGUAUGUCAAACUCACUCAGGCUGUCAGCCUGAGUGCCCCACAGGCCAUCAAAAAGAGGUACCAAACUCCAUUAUAACGUCUCUUAGCACUUUCUGCACUUCCACGCCAUGCCAGUGGGAUACCUGGCUGUGCGAAAGAGGACUGCAAAUGGGAUUAGAGACAUAACAUCAUCUUGCCUCUCCCUCCAGCCGGGCGAGGGAGAAGGAAGGUCAUGCCAAGCAAUCAGUCACGUUCUUUGAUUUUCUCAGAGGGCUUGUACCUGGCCUGUUGCCCCUUAAGUUCCACUUUGAUGGAUGAACCAACACUCCCCAAGCUAGGACUGCCACCUGGGGCCCCUCAGCUCAGGUAACUGGGGAAACUGAGUCAUGGUGAUGUGAUUCAGAGCACCUCUAUGCACAAGCAAGGUUCUGUCAUCUUCUUCCAGGCUGGCAGAAAAAAAAAAAUGUCUCAGCAGUUUAUAAAAGAAGAAAUAAAUAAACGGCAUGAUUUGAGUCAUCAGCCUUGCCUGUCUGAGUUCACCAGAGAAUUGACGACUCAGAGCUUCGCUUCAUGCAAUUUGGACCUUGCCCGAAACCUUCCAACUGUCCCAAGCAGCAAAGAAUAGGCCCUCUGCUAA